rfam:Operophtera brumata OBRT01_Sc05865, whole genome shotgun sequence.
CACUAGGCCUUUUUCAAGGCCACUAUUUAUACCUGAAGUUAGCCCU